rnacentral:rRNA from 1 species
UACGUACCGUCCAAACGUUAUUCGGAUUUACUGGGCUUAAAGGGUGCGUAGGCGGCUCAGAAAGUAGGGUGUGAAAGCCCUCGGCUCAACCGAGGAAUUGCGCUCUAAACUCCUGGGCUUGAGGAACGCAGAGGUAAGCGGAACUUACGGUGGAGCGGUGAAAUGCGUUGAUAUCGUAAGGAACACCAGGAGCGAAAGCGGCUUACUGGGCGUUUUCUGACGCUGAUGCACGAAAGCUAGGGGAGCGAACGGG